AAAAGAAAAAGAAAAAGAAAAGAAACAAAAGAAAAAAUGGGCUGAAGGGGAUGUUGUAAUUCUUGCAGGGAAUCAUGAUUUUGGAAUGGCAUCUUAUCUUGGUUGUCCUCCCCUUGGCUCUUCUCCUA
rnacentral:ribozyme from 13 species